rnacentral:rRNA from 1 species
CAGCACCUCAAGUGGUCAGGAGGAUUAUUGGGCCUAAAGCAUCCGUAGCCUGUUCUAUAAGUUUGCGGUUAAAUCUAUACGCUCAACGUAUAGGCUGCCGUAAAUACUGUAGAACUAGGGAGUGGGAGAGGUAGACGGUACUCGAUAGGAAGGGGUAAAAUCCUUUGAUCUAUUGAUGACCACCUGUGGCGAAGGCGGUCUACCAGAACACGUUCGACGGUGAGGGAUGAAAGCUGGGGGAGCAAACCGGAUUAGAUACCCGGGUAGUCCCAGCUGUAAACGAUGCAGACUCGAUGAUGCAAUGGCAUAGAGCUAUUGCAGUAUCGCAGGGAAGCCGUUAAGUCUGCCGCCUGGGAAGUACGUACGCAAGUAUGAAACUUAAAGGAAUUGGCGGGGGAGCACCACAAGGGGUGAAGCCUGCGGUUCAAUUGGAGUCAACGCCAGAAAUCUUACCCGGAGAGACAGCAGAAUGAAGGUCAGGCUGAAGACCUUACCAGACAAGCUGAGAGGUGGUGCAUGGCCGUCGUCAGCUCGUGCCGUGAGAUGUCCUGUUAAGUCAGGUAACGAGCGAGAUCCCUGCCACUAGUUGCUAUCAUUACUCUCAGGAGUAGUGGGGCGAAUUAGUGGGACCGCCACAGUUAAUGUGGAGGAAGGAAGGGGCCACGGCAGGUCAGUAUGCCCCCGAAACUCUGGGGCCACACGCGGGCUGCAAUGGUAGUGACAAUGGGCUCCUAACUCGAAAGAGAGAGGCAAUCCACAAACACUACCACAGUUAUGACUGAGGGCUGUAACUCGCCCUCACGAAUAUGGAAUCCCUAGUAACUGCGUGUCAUUACCGCGCGGUGAAUACGUCCCUGCUCCUU